GUCUUUGUAGUAUAAUAAAAUACCCCGGUCUUGUAAACCGGAAAAGGAGAACC
rnacentral:tRNA from 1 species